rfam:Oryza sativa (indica cultivar-group) chromosome 8, whole genome shotgun sequence.
UUUAAGUGUAGCCAUGAGAUUCCGUGUCCAACUCUGAUAGUCCGUCAUACUUUAAUUUUUUGAUGAUUAGUAUUUUUUAUUGUUAUUAGAUGAUGAAACGUGAAUAGUACUUUAUGCAUCACUUAUGUUUUUUAAUUUUUCCAAAAAAAUUUCAAAUCAGACAGACAAUCAAAGUUGACAUGAAAACUCAUGGUUACGUUUAAA